rnacentral:rRNA from 1 species
CCUACGGGAGGCUGCAGUAGGGAAUCUUCCACAAUGGACGAAAGUCUGAUGGAGCAACGCCGCGUGAGUGAAGAAGGGUUUCGGCGCGUAAAGCUCUGUUGGUAGUGAAGAAAGAUAGAGGUAGUAACUGGCAUUUAUUUGACGGUAUUUACUUAGAAAGUCACGGCUAACUACGUGCCAGCAGCCGCGGUAAUAAGUAGGUGGGAAGCGUUGUCCGGAUUUAUUGGGCGUAAAGCGAGUGCAGGCGGUUAAUUAAGUCUGAUGUGAAAGCCUUCGGCUCAACCGGAUAAUUGCAUCAGAAACUGUUGAACUUGAGUGCAGAAGAGGAGAGUGGAACUCCAGGUGUAGCGGUGGAAUGCUUAGAUAUAACGAAGAACACCAGUGGCGAAGGCAGCUCUCUGGUCUGCAACUGACGCUGAGGCUCGAAAGCAUGGGUAGCGAACAGGAUUAGAUACCCGAGUAGUC